rnacentral:rRNA from 1 species
CCGAUGUCACGCUGUCGGAUUAUUGGGCGUAAGGGCUCGCAGGCGGUUUCUUAAGUCUGAUGUGAAAGCCCCCGGCUCAACCGGGGAGGGUCAUUGGAAACUGGGAAACUUGAGUGCAGAAGAGGAGAGUGGAAUUCCACGUGUAGCGGUGAAAUGCGUAGAGAUGUGGAGGAACACCAGUGGCGAAGGCGACUCUCUGGUCUGUAACUGACGCUGAGGAGCGAAAGCGUGGGGAGCGAACAGGAUUAGAUACCCAAGUAGUCCA